AUGGCUGCCACGAGAACCAUUCUCCUCGCCGUGACCGCGAUGGCCAUCCUGAGCACCGCAUCGGCGGCAAUCUACAACGUCGGCGAGCCAGGUGGUGCAUGGGACCUCAGCACCAACUACGGCACUUGGGCGUCCUCGAGGAACUUCCACCCCAACGACCAGAUCAUCUUCAAAUACUCUCCUCAGGCACACGACGUCCUCGAGGUCAGCAAGGCCGACUAUGACUCCUGCAGCACCGCCAGCCCCAUCGCCACCCUCGACUCCGGGAAUGAUGUCGUCUCCCUCACCACCACCGGCACCCGCUACUUCCUCUGCGGCUUCCCGGGCCACUGUGCCGGCGGAAUGAAGGUCAAGAUCGACGUCGUGCCAAGCUCAUCCUCUUCCUCACCGGCCCCGGCCAGCGGCCCUAGUGCAAGCAACGCUCCCCCACCGACGCCUGUCUCAGCUGCCACCUCUAUGGAGGCCACAGGGUUUGGCCUCACCAUCUUGCUUGCCGUUGCCGGUCUCAUGGCUUGA
rnacentral:rRNA from 1 species